rnacentral:tRNA from 1 species
GCAUGGGUGGCUCAGUCAGUUAAGCAUCUGACUUCGGCUCAGGUCAUGGUCUCCCAGCUUGUGGGUUCAAGCCCCACAUGCU